rnacentral:rRNA from 1 species
UACGGAAGGCAGCAGUGGGGAAUAUUGCACAAUGGGCGCAAGCCUGAUGCAGCCAUGCCGCGUGUAUGAAGAAGGCCUUCGGGUUGUAAAGUACUUUCAGUCGUGAGGAAGGUGUUAAGGUUAAUAACCUUAGCAAUUGACGUUAGCGACAGAAGAAGCACCGGCUAACUCCGUGCCAGCAGCCGCGGUAAUACGGAGGGUGCGAGCGUUAAUCGGAAUUACUGGGCGUAAAGGGCACGCAGGCGGUUAAUUAAGUUGGAUGUGAAAUCCCCGGGCUUAACCUGGGAAUGGCAUUCAAGACUGGUUAGCUAGAGUCUUGUAGAGGGGGUGAAAUUCCAUGUGUAGCGGUGAAAUGCGUAGAGAUGUGGAGGAAUACCGGUGGCGAAGGCGGCCCCUGGACAAAGACUGACGCUCAUGUGCGAAAGCGUGGGGAGCAAACAGGGAUUAGAUACC